UUCCUACGGGAGGCAGCAGUCGGGAAUAUUGCGCAAUGGAGGAAACUCUGACGCAGUGACGCCGCGUAUAGGAAGAAGGCUUUCGGAUUGUAAACUAUUGUCGUUAGGGAAGAUAAAAGACUGUACCUAAGGAGGAAGCCCCGGCUAACUAUGUGCCAGCAGCCGCGGUAAUACAUAGGGGGCAAGCGUUAUCCGGAAUUAUUGGGUGUAAAGGGUGCGUAGACGGGAUAACAAGUUAGUUGUGAAACCCCUCGGCUCAACUGAGGAACUGCAACUAAAACUAUUAUUCUUGAGUGCAGGAGAGG
rnacentral:rRNA from 1 species